GCCAAGGAAGGGUUAACCAGCCAAGUUCCAGGCUAACACAGGAGAUUAUAGAAUGUUUAUCUAGUAUUCAGAUUUCCUGUUUAAAUGUUUGGAUUUCCUGAAAUCUAUCAGUCUGAAGGGUGUCCAGUACGUGGCCUUUUCCGCCCCUUCUUUUCAGCUCACAUGGGUGGACUUCCCUUCCCAACUGUAUUUCUGUCUCCUCACCAGCCAAGAUUUUCAUGGAUGAAAAUCAAAACGUUUUAGGCACCCCCAGAAAAUAUUUCUGGAUCCCUGGCCUUUGGGAUGUGCUUUGUUUUAAUCUAGCGAGCAAAUAAUCACAACAAAAAUUCCUGGGAAUUUCCUAUUGGUGCAACGUGCCUUUUUUUUUUCCCCUUUUCUCUCUUUUUUUUCCCAGCUCCGUGUUGGAAAAUAAUUUUAGCCCUUUCAAGACAAUGGAAUGAUGGCCUUCCUUUUGGCAUGCUCUUCUGGAAUGGGACUUCAAACAGGACGAGUCUUGGUAAUUUUCUUCUGUUGAGACAUGAGAUCUUCAGCUUCCAGAUUGUCCAGCUUCUCUUCAAGGGAUUCAUUAUGGAAUCGGAUCAUGCCGGACCAGAUCACUGUGUCGGAGUUUAUUGUUGAGACCACGGAAGAUUACAAUUCCCCAACGACCUCCAGUUUUACCACCCGGCUACAGAACUGCAGGAACACCGUCACGCUGCUAGAAGAGGCUUUAGAUCAGGACAGAACUGCACUACAAAAAGUGAAAAAAUCUGUAAAAGCAAUAUAUAACUCUGGGCAAGAACAUAUCCAAAAUGAAGAAAGCUAUGCACAAGUACUAGAUAAAUUUGGAAGUAAUUUCUUAAGUAGAGAUAAUCCAGACCUGGGAACUGCUUUUGUAAAGUUUUCCACGCUAACUAAGGAAUUGUCAACACUGCUUAAAAAUCUGCUACAAGGGUUGAGCCAUAAUGUUAUCUUCACCUUGGAUUCCCUGUUGAAAGGAGAUCUGAAAGGAAUUAAAGGGGAUCUGAAAAAGCCUUUCGAUAAAGCCUGGAAGGAUUAUGAGACCAAAUUCACGAAGAUUGAAAAGGAAAAAAGGGAACACGCCAAACAACAUGGGAUGAUACGAACAGAGAUCACUGGAGCUGAGAUAGCAGAAGAAAUGGAGAAAGAGAGAAGGUUGUUUCAGCUCCAGAUGUGUGAAUAUCUCAUUAAGGUUAAUGAAAUCAAGACGAAAAAGGGUGUGGACCUUUUACAGAAUCUUAUUAAGUAUUAUCAUGCACAAUGCAAUUUCUUUCAAGAUGGCUUGAAGACAGCUGAUAAACUCAAACAGUACAUUGAAAAGCUAGCUGCUGAUUUAUAUAACAUAAAACAGACACAAGAUGAAGAAAAGAAGCAACUUACUGCAUUGAGGGACUUGAUAAAAUCCUCUUUGCAACUUGACCAAAAAGAGGUAAGAAUCACAAGCAAAACUAGUGAUUCACAGAGCCGGCAAGGAGGUUACAGCAUGCAUCAACUUCAGGGAAAUAAAGAGUUUGGCAGUGAGAAGAAAGGAUACCUUUUAAAGAAAAGCGAUGGCAUACGGAAAGUUUGGCAGAGAAGAAAAUGCACAGUUAAAAAUGGCAUCCUGACCAUUUCACAUGCAACUUCAAACAGGCAACCUGCUAAAUUAAAUCUGCUUACAUGCCAAGUGAAACCAAACGCUGAAGACAAGAAAUCAUUUGACCUGAUAUCACAUAACAGAACAUAUCACUUUCAGGCAGAGGAUGAGCAAGAUUAUGUCGCGUGGAUAUCAGUACUGACCAACAGCAAAGAAGAAGCUUUAAAUAUGAGAUUGGCUGGAAAUGAUGUCUGUUGUGACUGCGGAUCACCAGAUCCAACUUGGCUUUCUACUAACCUGGGCAUUUUAACCUGUAUAGAGUGUUCCGGAAUACACAGAGAAAUGGGUGUUCAUAUUUCUCGAAUCCAAUCUCUAGAACUGGACAAGUUAGGAACAUCUGAACUCUUGCUGGCCAAGAAUAUAGGAAAUAAUAGUUUUAAUGACAUUAUGGAGGGAAACUUACCGACUCCGUCUCCAAAACCCACUCCAUCGAGUGAUAUGACUGCCCGCAAAGAAUUUAUUACUGCUAAAUAUGUAGAUCAUAAGUACUCCAGAAAGACCUGUGCAUCAUCAGCGGCUAAACUGAAUGAACUACUAGAGGCUGUUCGAUCCAGGGAUUUACUUGCACUACUUCAAGUCUAUGCAGAAGGAGUUGAACUGAUGGAGCCACUCUUAGAACCUGGACAGGAGCCAGGCGAAACUGCUCUUCAUUUAGCAGUCCGAACUGCUGAUCACACAUCACUCCAUCUGAUCGACUUCCUUGUACAAAACUGUGGAAACCUGGAUAAGCAAACCGUGUUGGGGAAUACAGUUCUACAUUAUUGCAGUAUAUAUAACAAACCAGAGUGUUUGAAGUUGGUUUUGAAGGGGAAGCCAACUUUGCAUAUAGUAAAUCAAGCUGGAGAAACUGCCCUGGACACGGCAAAGAGACUGAAAGCUCUUCCGUGUGAAGAUUUGCUUUCCCAGGCCAAAGUGGGGAAACUAAAUCCACACGUUCACGUCGAAUACGAGUGGAACCUUCGGCAGGAAGAAAUGGAUGAAAGUGACGAUGACUUAGAUGACAAGCCUAGUCCGAUUAAGAAAGAACGUUCCCCAAGACCGCAGAGUUUUUGUCAUUCUUCCAGUAUUUCUCCUCAAGACAAAAUGGCUGUUCCCGGCCUUGGCACUCCACGAGACAAGCAGAGACUCUCCUAUGGCGCCUUCCCACAUCAGAUUUUUGUCUCUGCCAGCAUCGACUCUGCCACUUCACCAACAACUGUAGAUGGGCCCCCACUUCCUCCAAGAAAUGCUGGAAAAGGUCCAACGUGCCCUCCUUCAACUCUCCCAUUAAGCACUCCAGCCUCUAGUGGCAGCUCCACCCUGUCUAAGAAGAAGCCCCCACCCCCACCCCCUGGACACAAAAGAACCCUAUCAGACCCACCCAGCCCACAACCUCAUGGGCCCCAGAAUAAGGGCCAAAUGUCUUGGGGUGACACCGGGACUGCUAAGACUGCUCUGGGCCCAAGAGUGCUUCCCAAACUACCUCAAAAAGUGGCGUUACGAAAAAUAGAAACAAUUCAUCUUCCUUCGGUAGACAAAUCCAGCCACCACUCUGAGAUCUUUCAAAAGUCGGCUUCUCUUUGUAUCGAUCUGCCCCUGAAGCCCCAGCCUGCAGAUUUAGCCCCCAAACCAGGAGAAUUACCCCCCAAACCCCAACUGGGGGACCUGCCCCCAAAGCCCCAAUUAGCCGACUUGCCUCCAAAACCCCAAAUGAAGGAUCUCCCUCCAAAGCCACAACUGGGAGAAACUUUGCCUUCCGAGGCCAGUCAGAAAUCACCCGGUAUGGAUCUUUCCCCAAAGAUACAAUCGAAAGAGAUUAUCCAGAAACAAGCAUCUGAAGACUCUGGAGAUACGACCCCUGGAUCAGCAGAAACCCCUGUGCCGCUUCCUAGAAAAAUAAACAUGGGGAAGAAUAAAGUCAAGAGGGUGAAGACAAUCUACGAUUGCCAAGCAGAUAACGAUGAUGAGCUUACGUUUGUGGAAGGCGAAAUUAUUAUUGUAACCGGAGAGGAGGAUCAGGAGUGGUGGAUCGGCCACAUUGAAGGAAAGCCGGAACGGAAAGGAGUCUUCCCUGUCUCCUUCGUCCACAUUUUAUCAGACUAACUCCAGCCAGAAACUUGAGUAUUGCACAUUGUUCCUGCAAGUCAGGCUUUAAGCACGAAGCAAGACAGCUGCUGCAUCCCUGUAAUUCUGUGCAUAAUUGUGGAUAUUGAUGUAUAUAUAUAUAACUGCUGUUAACAAGGCGAGAACUCGGUCCUGCCCGUACGAAGGGCUCGUCAUACCUGUAAUUGUAUAUAGAAGGUGUUCCUUUGCCAUUGCCAGUAUUAUGGUCAUUGUCGGAGCUGGCAUGCCUUAUUGGGUUGCUCAAGCCAUUCUUGGCAUCAAGCACUUACAAAAAACUGUCCGUGUGUAUGAACUGCCAGCUUUCUAACUAAACUGUUAGUCCCAUUCACUCCCAUUCAGCUGAACAGAAUUUACCGUCCCUAAUAAUACAUCAGUAUUCUCGGAAGCAGAUAGCUAGCAGCAGUUUCUCUUUCCCCCAAAGGAACGGCUGAUGUCCGUCAAUGGCUACCCAACUUGCACCAUUGACAGCUUGUGAAAUCCUCUUCCUUGGUAUUCAUUUAGAAAAUAUAUAUAUAUAUACAUAUAUCUAUGUGUCCGAUGUAUCCAUCCAACAAACAGAAAUAUGCACUAAUGCUACAGGUAAAAAAAAAAACAGUAGAAUUUUUUUAUGGUGGUAGGCCACAUGUUCAUGUUUGUACUCUGUAACUUUGGUCUUUGACCUCACUGGGCUGCCAUCUCAAUGUCUUCAAUAAAAAUGAAUUCAAUCUCA
ensembl:lncRNA